rnacentral:tRNA from 1 species
GUCUUCGUAGCUCAAGUGGCAGAGCGGCUGAUUUGUAAUCAGCAGGUUGUGUGUUCGAGCCCCAUCGGAGGCU